rnacentral:rRNA from 1 species
AUUGAACGCUGGCGGCAGGCCUAACACAUGCAAGUCGAGCGGAUGAACGGUGCUUGCUCGUGGUUUCCGCGGCGGACGGGUGUGUGAUGCCUAGGAAUCUCCCUGGCUUUGCGGGAUAACGUCCGCACGCGGGCGCUAAUACCGCCUACUUCCUGAUGGUGCACGUUGGGGAUCUUUGGACCUCACGCUCUUAUCUGAGUCUAGGUGGGGUUUGCUAGUUGGUUGGGUAAAGGGCUACCUAGGCGACGAUCCGUAGCUGGUCUGAGAGGAUGAUCAGCCGCACUGGAACGGAGACACGGUCCAGACGACUAAGGGAGGCAGCAGUGGGGAAUAGGGGGCAAUGGGCGGAAACCUGAACCAGCCAGGCCGAGUGUGUGAAAGAGGUCUUCGGAGUGGAAAGAACGUUAUGUUGGGAGAAACGGCAGUAAGUUGAGACCUAGCUGGAUUGACGGUAACAAGUAAAUAAGCACCGGCUAACUUCGUG